UACGUAGGGGGGCAAGCGUUUGUCCGGAUUUAUUGGGCGUAAAGAGCGUGUAGGCGGCCAAACAGGUCAGCUGUGAAAACUCGAGGCUCAACCUCGAGACGUCGGUUGAAACCGUUUGGCUAGAGUCCGGAAGAGGAGAGUGGAAUUCCCCGGUGUAGCGGUGAAAUGCGCAGAUAUCGGGAAGAACACCCGUGGCGAAGGCGGCUCUCUGGGACGGUACUGACGCUGAGACGCGAAAAGCGUGGGGAGCGAACAGG
rnacentral:rRNA from 1 species